AUUGAACGCUGGCGGCAGGCCUAACACAUGCAAGUCGAGCGAGCGGCGGAAGGGUGAGUAAUGUAUGGGGACUGCACGAUAGAGGGGGAUAACUACUGGAAACGGUGGCUAAUACCGCAUACUAUCGGAUAACCCAGAUGGGAUUAGCUAGUAGGUGGGGUAAAGGAUCACCUAGGCGACGAUCUCUAGCUGGUCUGAGAGGAUGAUCAGCCACACGUGGACGUAGACACGGCCCAGACUCCUACGGAGGCAGCAGUGGGGAAUAUUGCACAAUGGGCGCAAGCCUGAUGCAGCCAUGCCGCGUGUAUGAAGAAGGCCUUAGGGUUGUAAAGUACUUUCAGCGGGGAGGCGUUACCCGCAGAAGAAGCACCGGCUAACUCCGUGCCAGCAGCCGCGGUAAUUC
rnacentral:rRNA from 1 species